CCGUAGCUCAGUGGUUAGAGCAGUCGGCUCAUAACCGAUAGGUCGUAGGUUCGAUCCCUACCGGGCC
rnacentral:tRNA from 1 species